CAAUAGUAUGAGUGGUCCUUUGACCUGUGAUAAUAUUGGCUAUUCGCAGUGAGACUGUUGAGUUUGACUGCACAUUCCCUUGGUCCCUAGCCAUUCGGAUCCUUGCUGUGUAUAUUAGCUUCAGUAGGUUCAGAUUUACUGUUUAGAGUAGGAUGCACCUAGAUGAAAUUUAUCGACCUUGGUAGAAAAGGAGAAGUCCUAUGUGAUUUGCGAGAUUGAGUUCAGAAAGUCUUUGGCCAAAGCAAGUAUGAAUACUGAA
rnacentral:lncRNA from 1 species